UGGCGGGUAGCUCAGUUGGUAGAGCACCUAUAUCCUUAUUCACCCCUUGCCUGAAAAGGACGAAGAAUGAGGGUUAUCGUUUGAAGCACGGGAGGUCGCAGGUUCAAAUCCUGCUCCGCCAC
rnacentral:tRNA from 2 species